UUGAAGUAAAAAAAACAUUUUUAUGCUUGUGCAUCUGCUUUAUCUUUAUCAUUCUCACGUCCUAAUGCAACUCUGCUCGAUCAAUCAACAGUUUGUAGAUAAAUAGCAUGAUUGAGUGUAGUAAUAAUAAUGCAAUGUGGAUUCUUCUCAUGUUCAAUUAAACCAAUUCAUAUCCUCAACUUUAGCCUUGUUGAUAAUCUGCUUUUCAACUUUCUAUUAUUAAGCAUCAUUGCCCCACAGAAAAGGCUCAAUGGGUUUGAGCCACUAGGUCUGUUUAAGGAGUUCUCAACCCUUGCUGACUGUUAUAAAGAACAUGGGAUUCUCCUGAGAUUUGGGAUAACAAAAAAGAUCAUGAAGAAGCUUUAUAAGUUUUGGGCAUAGAUUUGAGUAGUGUUAACAGAGUGAGGGAAUGAUUUCGAAUCACCGUGCUGACAAUCAAGCUCGGUCGGUGUGGUCUUACGUGACUGCAAGUCGAGUCUGCAGGCCAAUACAGUCCAAUGUUCAAUCUAAAGAACAGAUUUGGGGUUUGC
rnacentral:lncRNA from 1 species